ensembl:snRNA U6 U6 spliceosomal RNA
GUGUUCGCUUCGGCAGCACGUGUACUAAAAUUGGAACGAUACAGAGAAGAGUAGCGUGGCCCCUGCGCAAAGAGGACACACAUAUUCACGAAGGGUUCCCUUUUUUU